rnacentral:rRNA from 1 species
UCUCCGUUGGUGAACCAGCGGAGGGAUCAUUACAGAGUUGCAAAACUCCCUAAACCAUUGUGAACGUUACCUAUACCGUUGCUUCGGCGGGCGGCCCCGGGGUUUACCCCCCGGGCGCCCCUGGGCCCCACCGCGGGCGCCCGCCGGAGGUCACCAAACUCUUGAUAAUUUAUGGCCUCUCUGAGUCUUCUGUACUGAAUAAGUCAAAACUUUCAACAACGGAUCUCUUGGUUCUGGCAUCGAUGAAGAACGCAGCGAAAUGCGAUAAGUAAUGUGAAUUGCAGAAUUCAGUGAAUCAUCGAAUCUUUGAACGCACAUUGCGCCCGCCAGCAUUCUGGCGGGCAUGCCUGUUCGAGCGUCAUUUCAACCAUCAAGCCCCCGGGCUUGUGUUGGGGACCUGCGGCUGCCGCAGGCCCUGAAAAGCAGUGGCGGGCUCGCUGUCGCACCGAGCGUAGUAGCAUACAUCUCGCUCUGGUCGCGCCGCGGGUUCCGGCCGUUAAACCACCUUUUAACCCAAGGUUGACCUCGGAUCAGGUAGGAAGACCCGCUGAACUUAA